AAAGUUAUUAGGAUAUAUAAAUUCCCGAUUUAAAAAGGGCUAUAAAAUUAUUUAUUUUAUUGUUGAAUAAAUACUUAUCAUAAUUUUAUAGUAAUGAAAUGUUAUUCGAUUUUUAAUAUAUCUGGUUUUUUAAGAAAUGAAUUUAAUUCAAUUAUUUUAAUAUAAAAUUUAUAUAUAUAUAUAUAUAUAUUUAUUUAAAAUAUUAAAUGUAUAUAGGGAUAAGCUUAAAUACAUAUAAUUAAUUUUAUUAAAUAAGUAUAUUUAAUAGGAUUGGAAGUUUCUAUUUAUAAAUAGUGUUGUUAUACCUAAGUAUAUUUACUUUAAGAUUUAUAUUGAUUUUAAUAUUUUUAUUAGAAUAUAAAGUUUAAUUAUUAAAUUUUAGUAAUAAUGAUUAAAUUAGUAUAAGAUAUGAUAUAAUUAAUAAUAGUUAUAGGAAGGUAUUUAAAAGGAACUCGGCAAAUAAGGUUCUUGCCUGUUUAUUAAAAACAUGGUUUUUUGAUUAUAAUUUAAGAUUUGACCUGCUCAAUGAGGUAUUAAAUAGCUGCAGUAUUUUGACUGUACAAAGGUAGCAUAAUAAUUAGUUUUUUAAUUGAGAACUGGAAUGAAGGGUUGGACAAGGAAUAAGCUAUCUAUUAAAUAUUUUAUUAGAACUUUAUUUUUAAGUUAAAAAGCUUAAAUAAUUUUAAAAGACGAGAAGACCCUUUAGAACUUUAUAUUUUUAAUUUUAUAAGUUUAUUAGGAUUUACUAAUUUUUAUUAUUAUAGUAUUUUGUUGGGGCGAUAGAAAAAUUGGAAUAACUUUUUUAUUUUUUAACAUGAAUUAAUGAAUGAAUGAUCCAGUAAUACUGAUUAUUAGAUUAAGUUACCUUAGGGAUAACAGCGUGAUUUUUUUUAAGAGUUCUUAUUUAAAUUAAAGAUUACGACCUCGAUGUUGGAUUAAAAUAAACUUUAGGUGUAGGUGCUUAAUAGUUGGGUCUGUUCGACC
rnacentral:rRNA from 1 species